CCCAUCGCCCCUCUGCCUGGGCCCUCCCUCACGGUUUAAUGGCCUUGUGAGGACUGGUGGUCUCAGCGCUUUCUUUUUAAACCUCCCUUUGGGAGCAGGGCUCAUGUUUGGGCCCAUAUGCAACUCUGGCUGGGCCUGGGUCCUGGUCUCCGGGUCUAGGGAGGGAGACUGCACCCAACCCCCCACCGCUACUGUCUGUCCUAAAAGAAGAGCAGGGAAGAGAUGAAAUUUCCUUGAGCAAGCCCAGUUUGAAAGGCUCCGACUGGACAGUCUAGCACAAAUAAUCAUUAAAGCUCCUAGCCCACGAUGAGAAUGAAAUACAGCCAGAGAGCUGAGGCACAGCUCGUCCAUCGAGAGCCGAAGCUGGAAAUGACAUGUCAUCAUUGUGGAAAUGUUAGGAAAUGAAGAAAAGCCGAAACAAGACAGUGGAAACACCUACGAUCCCAGCACUCUUACGUAGCUAACAUUUCAGCGCAUCUACUUCCGGUUUUCUUAGCUGUCUUUUUGCCUUUUUUCCUUCCCUCCCUCUCUCAUUUCUCCCUCUAUCUUUCUGCAAAACUGGAACCAUACUAUACAUAUGU